CCCCCGAGACCCUGUGAUCUGGCCCUCAACCACCUCUGCCUGCCCCCCGCCUGCUCCCCUGCAUACACCACAGGACCUUUGCAGAUGCUGCUUCCUCCAUCAGGAGUGAAUCUAUCCCAGAUAUUCACCUGGCCUCCCCUCUCACCUCAUUCAGAUCUCUUCUGGAAGGCCCUGCCUAACCUAAAAUAGCCACUUCUUCCCUGUUCCUUCCUUCCUCUCUAGCUCCUUAACCUACUUCACAUUUUUUUUUAUAAGUAGUGUCAUUAUCUUGCUCAUUUAUUUGUUUCCCUCAUUGUCUCUCCCUCCCACCAUUAGAAUGUAAGACCAUAAGGGCAACAAUGGAGUGUCAAUGGAUAUGUAUCAUCAAUGCCCACAGCGGUGAGAGCACGUAGGAAGUGUUCAAUCACUGUUUGUUGAAUAAAUGAUGUCCUAACUUCCUAGUAUGACACAUAGUCUCUCCACGAUCUGACCUCCACCCACUUCUACAGCCAGCUGUCCCGUCCCUCUCUCCAAGAAUACUCUAACCACACUGAACAUUUAAGGGCUGGGGAGGUGACCCCGUCGUUGACACCUCCGAGCCUCUGCACAGGCUGUGCUAUUUGUCUGGAAUGCCCUUCCCUACCUUGUCUGUCUGGGGACAACUUACUCUUAUUUCUAGAUUCAGCUCGAGCACUACAUCCUGAUGAAGCCUUCCCAGGCUCCCACACACCAAGCUACCCUCACGCUCCUUGGUCUGCUUCCUCCCGUACCCCAGCCUCUGCACCUCUUAACUCACUUAGGUACUUGUCCGUCUGUGUCCUCCUCCAGCCACUCAAGGGCAAGGCCAGGGUCUCCGUGUUGCAGCGGCGGGAGCCAGCACAGAGCCUGGUAUAUAGCGUGUGCCCAGGGAAUGUUGGUUCGGUAAGAGAAUCAGCCAAAUCUCCUGGGUUUUUAUUCUUCUUAAUAUCACUCUUAAAAUUACAAAGGUAAUACAUGCUAAUUAUUUUUGUGCAAAUGCCCAAAUAUGCAUAUACAGGGAAAAGUAAAAUUCCUAAUUUUUCAGGACUCUCUCUCGAGCUGCUUCUGACUCCCCAGGCUCUUCCUCUCCAGCUUGGGGGAGCCCAGGCAGAUGGCCAGACGGUUCAGGGAAAGAAGCCUGCGCCCGGACCCCCUGGCUGCGGCCUAGCUGGGUCCCCUGUGCAUCUGCGAAGCAGAAGUGGGAGUGAAGCUACCCGGUGAGGAGGCUGAGGCUGAGCCUGCUGACUCCAGGGUCGACCCCUUCCUCUACAAGAAAGUUGUGAUGCCCUCUGCCUUCCCCCAGUCCAAAAAACAAAACAAACAAACAAACAAAAACACCAAAUGUGCAGAUUAUGCUUUCUUAUCACUUUGGGGUUGCCUACAUUAGAACUUCCUAGAGAAACUGGUAACAUUGGUAUCAAUAAAAUGGAUUUGUUGAAUAUUCAGCCUUUCUAUUCCUUUUUCUUUUCCUCCUUUUGGAAACAAACAGGGUCCACCUGGACCGUCCCCACGGCCUGGAAGCUCCCCUUCUGCAGAAAUCAAACGCAGCCAUGGAAGCCCCUUUGCAGCCAGGCCCACACAGCCGUUCCAAGCCAGCCUGUCCUUCUGGCGGACACUGGCGAGCCAGCCAACUCACGGCUCAAGACCUGACAUCCCACGUGAUUUUACUUCAGAGAAACGAUGCCCUGGUUGGCAGACAUAAGUCUCCGGACUGCUGAAAAAUUGCAUUUUUCGUUCAGGAGGAGAGGAGGAGCCAAGAUGGCGGAAGAGCAUGGAAGUUUUUUGUGCGUCUCGCAUCCACGAAAUACAGCCAGACCAACACUAAACCAUCCUACACACCUAGAAAACUGAUUGGAGGAUUAACACAACAAUCUGCACGACCUGAAGCACAGAAUUCAGCAGUACUAACUCUAAACGUGAAUGGACUCAAUGCUCCAAUCAAAAGACACAGGGUAACAGAAUGGAUAAGAAAACAAGACCCAUCUAUAUGCUGUUUACAAGAGACCCACUUUAGACCUAAAGACACCUUCAGAUUGAAAAUAAGGGGAUGGAGAACCAUCUAUCAUGCUAAUGGUCAACAAAAGAAAGCCAGAGUAGCUGUACUUAUAUCAGACAAUCUAGACUUUAAAAUAAAGACUGUAUCAAGAGAUGCAGAAGGGCAUUAUAUCAUAAUCAAGAGGUCUAUCCACCAAGAAGACCUAACAAUUGUAAACAUUUAUGCACCAAAUGCGAAAGCACCCAAAUAUAUAAAUCAAGUAAUCACAAACAUAAAGAAAGUCAUCGGUAGUAAUACCAUAAUAAUAGGAGACUUCAACACCCCACUCACAGCAAUGGACAGAUCAUCAAAUCAAAAAGUCAACCAGGAAACAAUGGAUUUGAAUGACACACUGGACCAGAGGGAUUUAAUAAAUAUAUUCAGAACAUAUCAUCCUAAACCAGCAGAAUAUACAUUCUUCUCCAGCGCACAUCGAACGUUCUCCAGAAUAGACCAUAUACUGGGACACAAAUCAGCCCUAAGCAAGUACAAAAAGAUCGAAUUCAUACCGUGCAUAUUUUCAGACCACAACACUAUGAAACGAAAUCAACCACAAAAAAAAAAAUUUGGAAAGUUAACAAAUACUUGAAGACUGAAGAACAUCCUACUAAAGAAUGAAUGGGUUAACCAAGCAGUUAAAGAGGAAAUUAAAAAGUAUAUGGAAGUCAAUGAAAAUGAUAACACCACAACCCAAAACCUCUGGGAUGCAGCAAAGACGUCAUAAGAGGAAAGUAUAUAGCAAUCCAGGCCUUCCUAAAGAAGGAAGAAAGAUCUCAGAUACACAACCUAAACUUACACCUUAAGGAGCUAGAAAAAGAACAGCAAAUAAAACCCAAAACCAGCAGAAGACAGGAAAUAAUAAAGAUUAGAGCAAAAAUUAAUGCUAUCAAAACCAAAAAACAGUAGAACACAUCAAUGAAACCAGAAGCUGGUUCUUUGAAAGAAUUAACAAAAUUGAUAAACCACUAGCCAGUUUGAUCAAAAAGAAAAAGGAAAGGACCCAAAUAAAUAAAAUCAAGAAUGAAAGAGGAGAGAUAACAGCCAACACAGCAGAAAUAAAAACAAUAAUAAGAGAAUAUUAUGAGCAAUUAUAUGCCAAUAAAAUGGGCAAUCUGGAAGAAAUGGACAAAUUCCUAGAAACAUACACACUACCAAAACUGAAACAAGAAGAAAAAGAAAAUUUGAACAGACCCAUAACCAGUAAGGAAAUUGAAUUAGUAAUCAAAAAUCUGCCAAAAAACAAGAGUCCAGGGCCAGAUGGCUUUCCAGGGGAAUUCUACCAAACAUUUAAGGAAGAGUUAAUACCUAUUCUCUUGAAGCUGUUCUAAAAAAUAGAAAUGGAAGGAAAACUUCCAAACUUUCUAUAAAGCCAGCAUUACCUUGAUUCCAAAACCAGAGACCCCACUAAAAAGGAGAACUAUAGACCAAUUUCCCUGAUGAACAUGGAUGCAAAAAUACUCAACAAGAUAUUAGCCAACCAGAUCCAACAAUACAUCAAAAAAAUUACUCACCACGACCAAGUGGGAUUUAUACCUGGGAUGCAGGGUUGGUUCAAUAUCCGCAAAACAAUUAACGUGAUUAAUCACAUCAAUAAAAGAAAAGACAAGAACCAGAUGAUCCUCUCAAUAGAUGCAGAGAAAGCAUUUGACAAAAUACAGCAUCCUUUCUUGAUAAAAACCCUCAAGAAAGUAGGGAUAGAAGGAGCAUACCUCAGAUCAUAAAAGCCAUAUAUGAACGAUCCAGCACUAAUAUCAUCCUCAAUGGGAAAAAACUGAGAGCUUUCCCCCUAAGGUCAGGAGCAAGACAGAGAUGUCCAUUCUCAUCACUGUUAUUCAACAUAGUAUUGGAAGUCUUAGCCUCUGCAAUUAGACAACACAAAGAAAUAAAAGGCAUCCAAAUCAGCCAGGAGGAGGUCAAACUUUCACUCUUCGCAGAUGACAUGAUAUUCUAUAUAGAAAACCCAAAAGAUUCCACCAAAAAACUGCUAGAAUUGAUUCAUGAAUUCAGCAAAGUUUCAGGAUAUAAAAUCAAUGCACAGAAAUCAGUUGCAUUCCUAUACACCAACAAUGAAGCAACAGAAAGAGAAAUCAAGGAACUGAUCCCAUUUAUAGUUGCACAAAAAAACAUAUAAAAUACCUAGGAAUAAAUCUAACCAAAGAGGUCAAAAAUCUAUAUGCUGAAAACUAUAGAAAGCUUAUGAAAGAAACUGAAGAAGACACAAAAAAAAUGGAAAAAGAUUCCAUGCUCCUGGACAGGAAGAACAAAUAUUGUUAAAAUGUCGAUACUGCCCAAAGCAAUCUACAUAUUCAAAGAAAUCCCUAUCAAAAUAACACCAGCAUUCUUCACAGAGCUAGAACAAAUAAUCCUAAAAUUUGUAUCGAACCAGAAAAGACCCCCAAAUAGCCAAAGCAAUCUUGAAAAUGAAAACCAAAGCAGGAGGCAUCACAAUCCCAGACUUCAAGCUAUACUACAAGGCUGUAACCAUCAAGACAGUAUGGUACUUGCACAAGAACAGACACUCAGAUCAAUGGAACAGAGCAGAGAACCCAGAAACAGACCCACAAAUGUACGGCCAACUAAUCUUUGACAAAGCAGGAAAGAAUAUCCAAUGGAAUAAAGAGAGUCUCUUCAGCAAGUGGUGCUAGGAAAACUGGACAGUGACAUGCAGAAGAAUGAAUUUGGACCACUUUCUUACGCCAGACACAAAAAUAAACUCAAAAUAGAUGAAAGACCUAAAUGUAAGACAAGAAGCCAUCAAAAUCCUCGAGGAGAAAGCAGGCAAAAACCUCUUAGAUCUUGGCCACAGCAACUUCUUACUCAACACGUCUCCGGGGGCAAGGGAAACAAAAGCAAAAAUGAACUACUGGGACCUCAUCAAAAUAAAAAGCUUCUGCACAGCAAAGGAAACAAUCAGCAAAACUAAAAGGCAACCAACAGAAUGGGAGAAGAUAUUUGCAAAUGACAUAUCAGAUAAAGGGUUAGUAUCCACAAUCUAUAAAAAACUUCUCAAACUCAACACCCAAAAAAAAUAAUCCAGUGAAGAAAUGGGCAAAAGGCAUGAAUAGACACUUCUCUAAAGAAGACAUCCAGAUGGCCAACCAACACAUGAAAAAAUGUUCCACAUCACCCAUCAUCAGGGAAAUGCAAAUCAAAACCACAAUGAGAUACCACCUCACACCUGUCAGAAUGGCUAUUAACAACUCAGGCGACAACAGAUGCUGGCGAGGAUGCGGAGAAAGAGGAUCUCUUUUGCACUGCUGGUGGGAAUGCAAGCUGGUGCAGCCACGCUGGAAAACCGUAUGGAGGUUCCUCAAAAAAUUAAAAAUAGAACUACCCUAUGACCCAGCAAUUGCACUAAUAGGCAUUUAUCCACGGGAUACAGGUGUGCUGUUUCGAAAGGACCCAUGCAUCCCCAUGUUUAUAAGCAGAACUAUCAAUAAUAGCCAAAGUAUGGAAAGAGCUCAAAUGUCCAUCGAUCGAUGGAUGGAUAAAGAAGAUUUGUUAUAUAUAUUCAAUGGAGUAUUACUCGGCAAUCAAAAAGAGUGAAAUCUUGCCAUUCACAACUACAUGGAUGGAACUGGAGGGUAUUAUGCGAAGUGAAAUUAGUCAUAGAAAGGCAAACAUCAUGUGACUUCACUCAUAUGAGGGCUUUAAGAGACAAAACAGAUGAACGUAAGGGAAGGGAAACAAAAAUAAUAUAAAAACAGGGAGGGGGACAAAACAGAAGAGACUCAUAAAUAUAGAGAACAAACUGAGGGUUACUGGAGGGGUUGUGGGAGGGGGGAUGGCUAAAUGGGUAAGGGGCCCUAAGGAAUCUGCUGAAAUCAUUGUUGCACUAUAUGCUAACUAAUUUGGAUGUAAAUUUUAAAAAAUAAAAAAAUUAAAUUAAAAAGCAGGAGAAGUAAUAUCAAUCCUGGUGCUUCUUUCAGACUGACAAGUGUGAAAU